GUCAUAUGCUUGUCUCAAAGAUUAAGCCAUGCAUGUCUCAGUACAAGCCGAAUUAAGGUGAAACCGCGAAAGGCUCAUUAAAUCAGUUAUGGUUCCUUAGAUCGUACCCACAAUUACUUGGAUAACUGUGGUAAUUCUAGAGCUAAUACAUGCAAACAGAGCUCCGACCGGAGACGGAAGGAGUGCUUUUAUUAGAUCAAAACCAAUCGGUGGCGGGUUCGCUCGUUAUCGUACAACUUGGUGACUCUGAAUAACUUUACGCUGAUCGCACGGUCAUCGCACCGGCGACGCAUCUUUCAAAUGUCUGCCUUAUCAACUGUCGAUGGUAGGUUCUGCGCCUACCAUGGUUGUAACGGGUAACGGGGAAUCAGGGUUCGAUUCCGGAGAGGGAGCCUGAGAAACGGCUACCACAUCCAAGGAAGGCAGCAGGCGCGCAAAUUACCCACUCCCGGCAC
rnacentral:rRNA from 1 species